rnacentral:rRNA from 1 species
AACGAACGCUGGCGGCAGGCUUAACACAUGCAAGUCGAACGAGAUCUUCGGAUCUAGUGGCAGACGGGUGAGGAACACGUGGGAACAUCCCUUUCAGUUCGGAAUAACGUUGGGAAACUAACGCUAAUACCGGAUACGUCCUUCGGGAGAAAGAUUUAUCGCUGAAAGAUUGGCCCGCGUCUGAUUAGCUAGUUGGUGAGGUAAUGGCUCACCAAGGCUACGAUCAGUAGCUGAUCUGAGAGGAUGAUCAGCCACAUUGGGACUGAGACACGGCCCAAACUCCUACGGGAGGCAGCAGUGGGGAAUAUUGGACAAUGGGGGCAACCCUGAUCCAGCCAUGCCGCGUGAGUGAUGAAGGCCUUAGGGUUGUAAAGCUCUUUCACCGGGGAAGAUAAUGACGGUACCUGGAUAAGAAGCCCCGGCUAACUUCGUGCCAGCCGCCGCCGUAA